UUGCCUAGAUGAUUUUAGUGCUUGCACUAAAUGAAACUAGAUACAAGCGAGCGGCGGACGGGUGAGUAACACGUGGGUAACCUGCCCAAGAGACUGGGAUAACACCUGGAAACAGAUGCUAAUACCGGAUAACAACACUAGACGCAUGUCUAGAGUUUGAAAGAUGGUUCUGCUAUCACUCUUGGAUGGACCUGCGGUGCAUUAGCUAGUUGGUAAGGUAAUGGCUUACCAAGGCGAUGAUGCAUAGCCGAGUUGAGAGACUGAUCGGCCACAUUGGGACUGAGACACGGCCCAAACUCCUACGGGAGGCAGCAGUAGGGAAUCUUCCACAAUGGACGAAAGUCUGAUGGAGCAACGCCGCGUGAGUGAAGAAGGGUUUCGGCUCGUAAAGCUCUGUUGGUAGUGAAGAAAGAUAGAGGUAGUAACUGGCCUUUAUUUGACGGUAAUUACUUAGAAAGUCACGGCUAACUACGUGCCAGCAGCCGCGGUAAUACGUAGGUGGCAAGCGUUGUCCGGAUUUAUUGGGCGUAAAGCGAGUGCAGGCGGUUCAAUAAGUCUGAUGUGAAAGCCUUCGGCUCAACCGGAGAAUUGCAUCAGAAACUGUUGAACUUGAGUGCAGAAGAGGAGAGUGGAACUCCAUGUGUAGCGGUGGAAUGCGUAGAUAUAUGGAAGAACACCAGU
rnacentral:rRNA from 1 species